rnacentral:sRNA from 1 species
UAAGUUUACUGAACACAAGGCGUCGACUUUCCUUUGUUCAAACCACAAAACACAAGAAACAGAAUAGAGAAACAGAGAGAGACAGAACAGAGAGAGAUUGUGUGUGUAAAAGAGAGACAGAACACAAGACUUUAGUAACCCAGUUCACCUAUUAAAGGCUACGUCUGGGCCGAGACUGUGCUCGGAAUCCACUAGAUUGUGGAUGUCAGAAUCCGCAAUUAGAAUCUUGUGGUUGUUUUAACGGGGAUCUUUUGGUCUUGUUAGACGAGCAAUGAUCGAAUUGAAAAGAGAAGAAUGUGCUUCUGAAAUUUGUGUAUAGUCUUCGUGUUUUUUUUAUAUUGUCACUUUUACAAAUGUCAUCAACUCAUAUUUAUACUCAAUACAUCGAAUCGAACGUAUUAAACUGUUUGUUGAUUUCACGCCGCAGAUCUCGCCUUAUUUACGUCGUACGUUACGAAUCUCUAACUCGGGAUUUAAUGCGCAGUUUAAGUCGUGAUCCUUCCGUUUCUUUAUUAAUGUCGGAUCACCUGUUAAGCGGCCUGGCCCAUGCUGGGCUGUGAAUUGGGCCUAACUCGUCUUGAAGCCUAUUGAAUGCGGAUUGCGCCGAAGUGGGCCGAAUCCGACAUCCACAUAGAUCACUUUGGUGUUUACAAA